rnacentral:rRNA from 1 species
GACGUAGGGCGCGAGCGUUGUCCGGAUUUAUUGGGCGUAAAGAGCUCGUAGGCGGUCUUGUGCGUCGUCCGUGAAAACUUCGGGGCUCAACCCCAAGCUUGCGGUCGAUACGGGCAGGCUAGAGUUCGGUAGGGGAGACUGGAAUUCCGUGGUGUAGCGGUGAAAUGCGUAGAUAUCGAGAGGAACGACCUGAGGUGGAAGACGGGUUGCUGGGCCGACACUGACGCUGAGUGCGCGAAAGCCAGGGGAGCAAACGGG